UUGGUUUGUUUCCGGUGGAUGGCUCUCUGCUUGCGCAACAACUUCCACCUGGCAUACCUCUUCAGUUACACGUCAAGGUUUUAUUGCCUUGGGUGCGUUGUGGUUUACUGUGUUGUAUACCUAUGUGACGGUAUUGUUUGGAUUUAUCAAUUCCCAUUUCAUCUUUCGUCAUGCUUGUGGCGUGCGAUGAACCUUGAAACGAUCUCUUUGGUCUACCUUUCAUGGAUACGGACAUGAGUGGGCAUGGGGUCUUACAUGAUCCUGUUUUGUCCCAGUUGAGCGUUAUUGUUUCUCUAAGAUGACUACCCGAAUUGGCUCGUACCGGUGGGAUAUGUUGUCGAAGAGAGAUGCUAUCGUUCUUGCUUCUCAAAAACGACCACCUACCUGUUGGCUCUACCAGCGAGUAGGUGAUGUCGAAUAGGGAUGCU
rnacentral:misc_RNA from 1 species